AAACAAUUAACCUACACCUAUCAGCGCCAGGGAAUUACGAGCUAUGCUUAAAACCCAAAGGACUUGACGGUGUCCCAUCCCCCUAGAGGAGCCUGUUCUAUAAUCGAUGAUCCCCGAUAUACCCGACCACUCCUAGCUCUUCAGUCUGUAUACCUCCGUCGGAAGCUUACCAUGUAAACGCCAAAGUAGGCUUAAUGAUACCAUCAGCACGUCAGGUCAAGGUGCAACUCACGGAGUGGAAAGUAAUGGGCUACAGUUUCUAAACUAGAACAAACGAAAGACUAUGUGAAAUCAUAAUCAUGAAGGUGGAUUUAGUAGUAAAAAGAAAAUAGAGUGUUCUUUUUAAUUAGGCCCUGGGACGCGUACACACCGCCCGUCACCCUCUUCGAUACUUUACUUCUAGUUUAUAACCUGUCACCCUAAAUUAGAAGAGGUAAGUCGUAACAUGGUAAGUGUACUGGAAAGUGCACUUGGCAUAU
rnacentral:rRNA from 1 species